AAAUGGAUGAAGUCACAGCCGCUCAAGCAAAGGUUGCAGCCAAAUUGCUAACUGGUGCUGCAAGUGGCCAAGCUAGAGCCACUAGAGCUAAAGGAAAAUCCACACAUUUUUUGUUAAUUAGUAAUUGCCUUUCAAUUGCUUGCAGUGAAACUUACAAAGGCACAACCAUAAACUACUGAUUAACCCAACACCACAUGGGGCUCAUCGUUGGGUGGUUUCUUGUAAAUCAGUGCAUGUAUGUACACCAUAUGAGGUCUAGGAACCUCUGAAGCAUUUGCUAUUUGCUCCCAUGUACUGCAGUGCAGCGGAUCAG
rnacentral:lncRNA from 1 species